ACCGACCGGCCAUGAGGGGUAGAGGGCUUCGCCUUGCCAAGGCGAAGGUCGCCGGUUCGAACCCGGUGUUCCGCUCCA
rnacentral:tRNA from 1 species